rnacentral:rRNA from 1 species
AGAGUUUGAUCCUGGCUCAGGACGAACGCUGGCGGCGUGCUUAACACAUGCAAGUCGAGCGAUGAAACUACUUCGGUAGUGAAUUAGCGGCGAACGGGUGAGGAACACGUGAGGAAUCUGCCUUCUACACUGGGAUAACUCCGGGAAACCGGGGCUAAUACCGGAUAUGAAACUUGGUGGCAUCACCGAGUUUGGAAGGUUUUUCGGUAGAAGAUGACCUCGCGGCCUAUCAGCUUGUUGGUGAGGUAAUGGCUCACCAAGGCGACGACGGGUAGCCGGCCUGAGAGGGCGACCGGCCACACUGGGACUGAGACACGGCCCAGACUCCUACGGGAGGCAGCAGUGGGGAAUAUUGGGCAAUGGAGGAAACUCUGACCCAGCGACGCCGCGUGCGGGAUGAAGGCCUUCGGGUUGUAAACCGCUUUCAGUAGGGAAGAAGCGAAAGUGACGGUACCUACAGAAGAAGCACCGGCUAACUAUGUGCCAGCAGCCGCGGUAAUACAUAGGGUGCAAGCGUUGUCCGGAAUUAUUGGGCGUAAAGAGCUCGUAGGUGGUUCGUUACGUCGGAUGUGAAAAUCUGGGGCUCAACCCCAGACCUGCAUCCGAUACGGGCGAGCUAGAGUUUGGUAGGGGAGACUGGAAUUCCUGGUGUAGCGGUGGAAUGCGCAGAUAUCAGGAGGAACACCAAUGGCGAAGGCAGGUCUCUGGGCCAAUACUGACACUGAGGAGCGAAAGCGUGGGGAGCGAACAGGAUUAGAUACCCUGGUAGUCCACGCCGUAAACGGUGGGCGCUAGUUGUGGGAACCUUCCACGGUUUCUGCGACGCAGCUAACGCAUUAAGCGCCCCGCCUGGGGAGUACGAUCGCAAGAUUAAAACUCAAAGGAAUUGACGGGGCCCCGCACAAGCAGCGGAGCAUGCGGCUUA